rnacentral:rRNA from 1 species
GACGAACGCUGGCGGCGUGCUUAACACAUGCAAGUCGAACGGAAAGGCCCUGCUUUUGUGGGGUGCUCGAGUGGCGAACGGGUGAGUAACACGUGAGUAACCUGCCCUCGACUUUGGGAUAACUUCAGGAAACUGGGGCUAAUACCGGAUAGGAGCUCCUGCUGCAUGGUGGGGGUUGGAGAGUUUCGGCGGUUGGGGAUGGACUCGCGGCUUAUCAGCUUGUUGGUGGGGGAGUGGCUUACCAAGGCUUUGACGGGUAGCCGGCCUGAGCGGGUGACCGGCCGCAAUAGGACUGAGGUGAGGCGCAGACUCCUACGGGAGGCAGCAGUAGGGAAUAUUGCACAAUGAGCGGAAGCCUGAUGCAGCAACGCCGCGGGCGGGAUGACGGCCUUCGGGGUGUAAACCGCUUUCGCCUGUGACGAAGCGUGAGUGACGGUAAUGGGUAAAGAAGCACCGGCUAACUACGUG